rnacentral:rRNA from 1 species
CCUACGGGGGGCUGCAGUGAGGAAUAUUGGUCAAUGGCCGGAAGGCUGAACCAGCCAUGCCGCGUGAAGGUCAGUGCCCUAUGGGCGUUAAACUUCUUUUGUGCGGGAGCAAUAAUGGUCACGUGUGGCCAGACGAGAGUACCGUACGAAUAAGCAUCGGCUAACUCCGUGCCAGCAGCCGCGGUAAUACGGGGGAUGCAAGCGUUAUCCGGAUUUAUUGGGUUUAAAGGGUGCGUAGGCUGUGAGGUAAGUCAGCGGUGAAAUGCCCCCGCUCAACGGGGUGAAGUGCCAUUGAUACUGCCUGGCUGGAAGGCGGAUGCCGUGGGAGGAAUGUGUGGUGUAGCGGUGAAAUGCAUAGAUAUCACACAGAACACCGAUUGCGAAGGCAUCUCACGAAUCCGCGAUUGACGCUGAUGCACGAAAGCGUGGGUAUCAAACAGGAUUAGAUACCCUAGUAGUC